UAUUGGACAAUGGGGGCAACCCUGAUCCAGCCAUGCCGCGUGUGUGAAGAAGGUCUUCNGUUUGUNANGCACUUUAAGUUGGGAGNACGGUCUUUAGGUUAAUACCCUGAAGUUUUGACGUUACCAACAGAAUAAGCACCGGCUAACUCUGUGCAAGCAGCCGCGGUAAUACAGAGGGUGCAAGCGUUAAUCGGAAUUACUGGGCGUAAAGCGCGCGUAGGUGGUUCAGUAAGAUGGAAGUGAAAUCCCCGGGCUUAACCUGGGAACUGCUUUCAUAACUGCUGAGCUAGAGUACGGUAGAGGGUAGUGGAAUUUCCUGUGUAGCGGUGAAAUGCGUAGAUAUAGGAAGGAACACCAGUGGCGAAGGCGACUACCUGGACUGAUACUGACACUGAGGUGCGAAAGCGUGGGGAGCAAACA
rnacentral:rRNA from 1 species